rnacentral:rRNA from 1 species
UUGGUGGUAGAAGCGCUUCCGCAUUCAACACAUGCAUAUGCCCCUGUCCGUGGAGGUUACUGUGAACAAAACAGCGUGUCCAAAGCAACCACAUGUCUGGCUGAAUGAUCUAGCAUGGAAUAACAAGGCAUCGACCACUGGAGUCAGCCUUUUUGUUGGUUUUACAUGACCCAGUUGGGCAAUGCAGGGCUUGUGCUUCAUUGAGGUUCUUAGUCAGCUCUACCGAACUGUCUUCCCUCAGUUGGACCUUGUUCCCUAUCGGGAUCAGUGGAAGCCAUCGGGGUGGUAUGUAUUCCGACGUGAGCGGUGAAAUGCUUAGACCGUUGGAAGACAAACGACAGCGAAGGCAUUCCGCCAGAAUGUUUUCAUUAAUCAAGAACGAGAGUGUGGGGAUCGAAGAUGAUCAGAUACCAUCGUAGUCCAUUACCGUAAACUAUGCCAACUCGGCAUUGGGAGUCUGUUCACUUUGAAGACUCUCCCAGCAUCAUCCCCCAAUAACGAGAAAUCCUCUAUGGGUUCAGGGGGGAGUACAGUCGCAAGGCUGAAACUUAAAGGAAUUGACGGAAUGACACCACAAGGCGUGGAGUAUGCGGCUUAAUUUGACACAACACGGGGAAGCUUACCAGGUCAGACACAGUAAGGAUUGACAGAUUGAGAGCUCUUUCUUGAUCCUAUGGAUGGUGGUGCAUGGCCGUUUCUGGUUCGUGGAGUGAUCUGUCUGCUUAAUUGGGAUAACGAACGAGAUCUCUACCUCUAAAUAGGCGCCGGUCUCGCAUGUAAGUAGGGAUGUGUUGGGGGCCUUCGUGUCCCCUCAUGUCCUGAGAGUGCCGGGAUCGCUUCUUAGACGGACUGUGCAUGUCUUUAAUGCACGGAAGAGGGAGUCAAUAGCAGGUCUGUGAUGCUCCUAGAUGUUCUGGGCUGCACGCGCACUACACUGGCACAGUAAACGAGUUGCACCUGCUUCGGCAGUCCUGCUUAGAAGUGAGCGUGGGAAAUCUUAGAAAACUGUGCCGUGCUGGGGAUAGAUGAUUGCGAUUAUUUGUCUUGAACGAGGAAUGCCUAGUAGAGGUACUUCAUCAGAGUACCUUGAUUGUGUCCCUGCCAUUUGUACACACCGCCCGUCGUUGCUACCGAUUGGCUGUAAAAUAGAGGCCUUAAGAGUCGCUUCCGCAAAGCUUUGCUUUUGAGGUUGUGACAAAUCUGGCCAAUAUUUCAUUGCUAGAGGAAGCAAAAGUCGUAACAAGG